GGGGGCGAACGGCUUCGACGAAGUGUUAAGAUGCGGAAGAGUGCAUGGCGAGGAGCCCUCGUAAUCUCGUAAAACCUUCGAGGGGAAUAACAGCUGCCAAUAACAGCUACGCUUUCGCUGCUUAAUUAGCGGCGACGUCGGCUUUAUGUUUUACCUGUUCGGCAUAAUGUCCGGUGGAUAAUCAGGGCGGGUGAAGCUUUCAGAACACCAUCGGCUGGAAGCGGAUUUUUUAGAUGGCUGGCUCCCAAGUGGCCGGUCACAGGGCAGCGAAGGAGCGAGACUUUAAUCUGUGACUAACCAUGUAGUACUCGACCGUUGACCACUUCGGACGCGGGUUCGAUUCCCGCCGCCUCCAUUU
rnacentral:tmRNA from 1 species